rnacentral:misc_RNA from 1 species
GCGUCCUGUGUCGUCAAUCUUCAUCAAUCCAUAAUCUGAUGCACGGCUGUCAUUCAUAGGUACACAUGAAACAGUAAUAUCUGCAUUUGUGUCAAUAUGCUUCUGCACAAACUCCAUAUAGUCUGUCCGAUAAAGAUGAUCACCAGACAAAAUCAAUACAUGCUCCACGUUCUUGUUCUUUGCAUCCUCAAACACCCAAAUGAAUUGCCGCACCGCAUCGGCAGUUCCUUGGAACCACUUUUUUCCUGCCUCUCCUGGCGUUUGAGUUGCAGCCAGAACCUCCACAAACCCAUCUCCAAAAUUAACACCAUUUCCAAAGUUAUAGGUGCGAGCAAGGUGACGGUUGAGGGAGAAGGAAUUGAACUGUGUUAAAAUAAAAAUCUUCUGAAUACCACUAUUAAUGCAGUUACUCAUUGGAAUAUCAAUCAGCCUGUAACACCCUCCAAGUGGAACCGCAGGCUUGGCUCUUUGGCUAGUAAGUGGAAAGAGCCGUGUCCCAGCACCUCCACCUAAUAUGAUCGCAGCUACGUUUUUGGGAUCUGCCAUCGGUGUCUCAAAAGCCGUCGCAUCAAAUGUCACAGUUUCUUUGUUAACAUCAGAUGUAAGAACAGAGUAGGUGACUCGAGGCUUGACCUUUUUG